rnacentral:rRNA from 1 species
UUGGAGGGCAAGUCUGGUGCCAGCAGCCGCGGUAAUUCCAGCUCCAAUAGCGUAUAUUAAAGUUGUUGCAGUUAAAAAGCUCGUAGUUGAAUUUCGGGGUCAGUAGGUUGGUCGUGCCACCGGUACGUACUGGUCUCACUGAUUCCUCCUUCCUGAUGAGCUGUAAUGCCAUUAAUUUGGUGUUGCAGGGAAUCUGGACUGUUACUUUGAAAAAAUUAGAGUGUUUAAAGCAGGCUAACGCUUGAAUACAUUAGCAUGGAAUAAUGAAAUAGGACGUUCGAUCCUAUUUUGUUGGUUUCUAGGAUUGACGUAAUGAUUAAUAGGGAUAGUUGGGGGCAUUAGUAUUCAAUUGUCAGAGGUGAAAUUCUUGGAUUUAUUGAAGACUAACUACUGCGAAAGCAUUUGCCAAGGAUGUUUUCAUUAAUCAAGAACGAAAGUUAGGGGAUCGAAGACGAUCAGAUACCAUCGUAGUCUUAACCAUAAACUAUGCCGACUAGGGAUCGGAUGAUGUUAAUUUUUUAAUGACUCAUUCGGCGCCUUACGGGAAAC